CUUGACUGUAUUCUGGAAUGGAAUUCGGGCUUUUCCUGCGCAGUCUAGGUGGGAGGCGUUGAAGAUUUCCUUCCGGGGAAAUUGGAGCCAUCAGUGAGAGACCACUCUGGGAAGGCUAGAAUUCUAAUGGCGAUCCUUGAAUCAGGACGCUUGACAGUUUCAGAUGGGCAGUUUUUCUGGGGCGGAAACCUCCUAAAAGGUAACGGAGGUGCGCAAUGGUUCCCUCAGUCUGGACGGAAAUCAGACAUUGAGUGUAAAGGCAAAAGGGAGCUUGACUGUGAGACCUACAAGUCAAACAGGGGCGAAAGCCGGCCUUAGUGAUCCGACGGUGCUGUGUGGAAAGGCCGCCGCUCAACGGAUAAAAGUUA
rnacentral:rRNA from 1 species